rnacentral:rRNA from 1 species
CCUACGGGAGUCAGCAGUGAGGAAUAUUGGUCAAUGGGCGCGAGCCUGAACCAGCCAAGUCGCGUGAGGGAUGACGGUCCUAUGGAUUGUAAACCUCUUUUGCCGGGGAGCAAGGCCCGCCACGUGUGGCGGGAAGGAGAGUACCCGAAGAAAAGGCAUCGGCUACCUCCGUGCCAGCAGCCGGGGUAAUACGGAGGAUGCGAGCGUGCUCCGGAUUUAUUGGGUUUAAAGGGUGCGCAGGCGGAAGGUCAAGUCAGCGGUAAAAUUGAGGGGCUCAACCUCGUCGAGCCGUUGAAACUGGUUUUCUUGAGUGAGUGAGAAGUAUGCGGAAUGCGUGGUGUAGCGGUGAAAUGCAUAGAUAUCACGCAGAACUCCGAUUGCGAAGGCAGCAUACCGGCGCUCAACUGACGCUCAUGCACGAAAGUGUGGGUAUCGAACAGGAUUAGAUACCCGAGUAGUC